rnacentral:lncRNA from 1 species
AAUCAAGGAAGAGGACCAACAGGAGAAACAGGAACAAGCAAGUGUGGACCGAGUCAGCUAAGAUGGUCACUGUAGUCCAUGGAGGCCAAGAUCACCAACUUAAGUCACCGUUUUUGACCAAGAAGGACGACCCAGGAAUGCCAAGCAUCUACUGCUCCAUAAAUGGAUAUAACUUCUACAAGACGAUUUGCGACACCGGAUCGGGCGUCAACAUAAUGGCCGCAGUCACUUAUCGGCUCUUGUUCGGGACCAUGCCACUAAGACCAACAUGCAUUCAGCUCCAGAUGGCAGAUCAGACAUUUCGAGAAGUUCAAGGAAUAGUAUCUGAUGUCCCAGUCAAAAUAGACGAUCACCUUGUCUACACAGACUUUCAAGUUGUUGACAUGGGAGAAGAUGAGUAUGAUCCACCCAUCAUCCUUGGAAGACCGUUCCUCAGCACCGUUAAAGCAAUUAUCUACAUUGGAACCGGAGAAGUCCAUAUGCACUUCCCCUCAGAGAAGGUACGCCGUUAUUUUACUGACCCUAACUAUAUCAUUGAAGAAUCUAAGCAGGUAAGGAAAAGACGCAACCGCAACCAGAGGAGGCAGAUCAUCAAGGACGGAUGGGCAGACUAUGAAGGAGAAGUUGUAAGGUCAGAAGACGUAGAGUUCAAACAGAAUUAUCCAGAGGAGAUUGAAGCACCGAGUCAGGUAUGGAAAAUGAAGAUAACUAUACAUGAAGAGGAGGCGCUGCCGGAAGUACCGACUACGCCACCCAACGAACCUCAGGACGAUUAAGAAAAUGGAGAGUCCCGUUCGGAGGACUUAAAAACACCGAACGCCCUGCCAAGAGGUAAACUUGGUAGUUACCCUUUCCCUUUCAAUUAUUUCAAUUAUUUCAAAUAGUUUACUUAGUUAAUUAUGUUCAUGCUAUCCUAAAAAGAAAAUAAAAAUGUAAAAAACAGUAAGCCCCAUAUGAGUAGACGAGUGGCAUAAAACCCAUAAGUACAUUCACUGUGGUGGCAUAAAAAUAAAAUAAAUAUUUUUUCUGCUUUAUAAAAACAAAAAUAUAAAAACAGAGAGUAACAAUUAUUAAGGAGUCUCAACAUGAUAAAGGCUAGAUAUUUAUGCUAACACUUAAUCAAGUUCCACAAGCUUUGUUGUCUAUUUGAGCUCCACAGAAUAUCAAGAAGACUAGCAGACGGAGGACAUUCUAAUCGCUGUCAGAAUGCUGCUGACUUUCAACUACACCUCUGCCACCUGCUAGCUACAUCAAGAGAAAUUACGUCAAAAUUCAGCUUGGGGGAGAGCACCCCCAUUUAACUCGAUAAGUAUUUCUAUCUAUUUUUAUACUUAUAUUAUUUUAGAAUAUUAAAAUACACAUAAACUAUGGGAAAACCAAAUAAAGAUUUUAUGCUUAUAUAUGUCUUUUGCUUAGUGUGUUUAAUAAAUAAAUAAAGUGGCUAUGCUAAUCUGUAUCUAAACAAAAACUUAAGCAUGGAUAUGAUGAAUAGUUGCUCUACCUAAUUUGCACAUUCUAAGUUCUCUCUCAAGUUUAGAUAUAACUGUUAUAAUUUAAAGCUUGCCCUAGACCUAAACUUGUGGGAUGAAAACUUGAUCUGAAGUCUAAGUUGUGAAUGGAUACGAUAUGGGAAGGUUGAGCUGCUGUUUAUCUGUUCCUAGAGAUGCUAGAAUUCUGGAGAAUUUUAUCUUUGAAAAUCUUUAAAAUGUUGCAUGAUGAGUUAACCACAGCCAUAUAUACAUGUUUGCUAGACUUUGCGCCACACAUUUAUUAUUUACUGCUUAUGAGCAUUGAGUGUGGUCAAGCUGUGUAGACCCUUAGGAGCUUGUCAUGUGGUUAAAUCAAGAUUUCACUUGCACGUUCACUCAUAUAUGCUACUUCUACUCCAGAAGUACCAUCCACAUAUAUCCAUCCAUUUCCAUCUCCAGAAUCACCCAAAAAUAUUCUGCUCCUAAUCCGGGAGAGAAUAACCAAAAAUAUUUCUGUUUCCCCUUGUGAAAUAAAUGCUCAAGUUAUCUUGUUACUACCACUUGCUAUAUUAUCUCAAGAGAUGAGUGCUCUAAAAAAAAGAGAGAAGAAAAUAAAAAAAAUAUACGAGGAAAUAAAAAGGAGCAAGUGCUCGGAACCUCGAAAGAAAAGAAAGAGUGAGACGAGAGGUAAAAAUGGACAAGUGUCCGACAGUAGAAUUAGGGGUGCAAGAUACCCACCUGAGAGACAAGAAAAAGAAGAUCAUCUCAUUCUCCUCAUAAAGUUUCAAAAGCAAGGAAGGUAUGUAUCCCCUCAAAAGAGCAAAGUAGAAUUAGACUUCCACCACCAUUGUUAUCACCAUCAUCACCAUACACCAUUCAUUCGCCACACAUGCACAUCUUGAUUUGGCUUAUUGAUUUGUUUCUUUGGAUCCAUGGUUUGACUAGGCAAUAAAUGUCUUGUGAGUAUGUAUACUUUAUCUACCACCUAUGAGCUCCAAAUAUUAAAGCCUUAUUAGAGUAGGGUGAGAGAGAAGGCAAUGUCACUAUGCCUUAUACCACAAAUACUACAUAUCUUGAGAGAAGGCAUAUACCAUCAAUGCCUUGGUAAGGAUCCAAAAAUACCACAAAAGAGAGAUCUGAGAGAAUCAUACAAGGAAUCUCUGAGUUUUAUUUGAAAUUCUGCAAAAGCCCCAGAGCUAUAGCUGAUCAAGAAUAAGAGACAUGGCACUUGGCUAGACUGUUCUAUCUUUUAACCACUCAAGACGGAAGUGACAGUUACAAGUCCCAUGGUGUAGGUAAAGUAAGUAAGUUUUAAGUCUUGACAGUUUACUCUAACUCAGAGAUGAGAUCUUAUUUAAAAAGCAUGUGUACCGUCAAAUUUUAAAGAUAUUGCAACUACUUAUGAUCCAUUGCUAAGUCUAUCCUUGCUCAGGGACGAGCAAGAGGUAAGCUUGGGGAGUUUGUUGACGGUCCUUAAGAAUCAAAUUUAAUUAUCAAAUAAAUAAAGAAAAGGAUCCAAAUGAAAUCAAGAUCCAGACUUAGGGUUUUAUCUGACAGAAUUCCACGAGUUUUGGUGUUUGUCUAUUUCUGCAGUGGGUUAUCAGGAAAUAUGGAAGAAAGGCCCACAUGUAAGGAUUACGUAAAGGUAUUAACGUGCUGCGCAAUUAUCUUACAUCUAGAAGACUCCAGAAGCCACGAGACCGAAGCGGAGGCGAAACGGGGCCAGACCCUGGGCGGCCGCCCAGUUGGUCUGGGCGCCCGCCCACCUCCUGAGUCCAAUCAGGACUCUGCUUUGCGGGAGAUCUCCACUGACCUAAAGGAUGAAUCUAAACCAUACAAUCUAUGUCGGUUUGAUCCAAGGGCCCAUAUUCACUUGAAGGGACUAUAAAACCAGACCCCCUGGCCCCUGGAGGAGAGAGCCUCUCAACCCUAAUUCAUUGUUCCAUCAAAGGAGAAGAAGCCUCUGAUCAAGAUUAGAGCCACCACAUUAAUUAGAUAUCUAGAUUAGCAUAGCUACAUAGGAUUAGAACUAGAAGGAGUCAAUCUUCGAUUGGUUUCCGGAUCUGUCAAGAGGAUUCUUGGUAAUUCUCUAAUUGUGCUUCUAAUUACUUUCUAAUUAUCUUUGUUCUUCAAUAUUAUGAAUAUGACUUUGUUCUACUUCAAUAUAUUGCUUAUGACUUUGCUCUACUUGCUUAUAUUCAAGAUUAUAUUGUUCUUAGUUUAUCAUAGUUAUGUACUUGGCUUAGUUAGAUUCGAUCUAUAUACAUGCUUAGGAUCGUAUAGCGUUUAUCCAUCGGAUCCAUCGGUAAAUGAUAGAUAUUGUGUAGGCGUGGUGCUUAUACCGUAUUUAUCUGCGAUUGUACCCAAUAUGCCAGAUCGUGGGGUGGUUCGUGAUAGUGACAGCUUCAUUGAUUCUUAUAUAGUCCCCCUCUCGUGUAUUGGGCUGGCAGAGCAACAUUAUUACAGGGGAGUGAUUGCUAUGUUUCUCAUAUUCCUUGCUAAUAUCACUAUGCAUGGGCGUAGUCUUGUCUCGCAAUGAUUGCUAAGUAUGCUUGCACUAACUAUGAUAUGCUAGACUAUAUAGUUGAGAAUAACUUAGGGAAUAUUCUUGUAGUUUGUUCUAAUACCAUGCUAAUGACUUUCUAGAGUAUCUAAUUGAGGUGCUUAUCAUAUUUAUUAUGUGGCUAGAUCAGAUUAGUUAUCCUUGUCAUUAUUAUUAUUUCAUAUAUCUUUUAUGUGACACUUAUCCCUGUAUGAAGAGUUAGAUAUAAUGUUCUCAAUUAUACAUGCAAUGAUAGAUGCUCAAUCUCAUAUUAUAUUUUGUAAUCAUUAGUGAUGAUUGCUAAUCCCUUCCCAGUGGUAAAAAUAUAAAUAACGAUACCUGGAAUACUUCCCGGUUAAAAUGCUACAUCGGUAUUAAUAUGUGCGCUUGCAGAUCCAAUUCAUUAUUUAUUUAGAAGAGCAAUUGCAUAUUUCAAUACCGCGUCUCUUAUAUCAUGCUGGGGAUGACAACUUGGCUUAAGUGGUGUGAGGGAUAGGUUUGGCAUUUUUGGCACCGUUGCUAGAUUUAGAACUUAGUCUACUUUAAGUAUUAUCCUAAAUAUUAUAGUAAUCCAGGGAUUAACCCCAAUUAUUAACACAGGAUAGCAAUCCUGCCAACACAGAAUAGCCAUUCCGCCAAAACACGAGGUAGCAACCUCGCCAAGGUCCGUCUCCAAGUAUCCAGUGAAUCCAAUUUGCUCAUCAAGUGAGGGUCUGGGCCGCUCGUGACCGUGAGCACGGCUGAUAUAUCAGUUUUACACUCUGCAGAGGUGUGCACGUUCACUCCAAGUCGUGAUUCCCAUUUUCCCGGGGUCGCGACUCCCCAAAACACUUCCAAGGUGAGCAGGCAGGGUCUCACUACGAGACCUUUCACAGGGUCCAACUAAUAGGAUGCCACUCGCAAGUUUUCGCCGGGGCGCUCGACACUCGAUACCCAUAGCCAUGGCGUACCGAUCAACCGACAACUUAAUAUUCAUUACCUAAGUUACUUCCUCACGCCUACCCAGAAAGUAACACCCUACUAGUGGAGGUCCUGCUAAUUAGUCAAGCCAGAGCCAUAUAGCUUGGAGCUGCACUGUAAGUCCCAGGGGGCCGCUCCCCGACUAAGUCCUUACGGAGAGCAGAGACGGGUACGCCCGACAAACCGGACCACCAACGGUACCCGCUCCCCCUGUCACCACCAUCAUCACGUUGCUCGCAAGCAUCCAACAUCGCCAUCACCGCAGUGACCAAAGAUUCAGCACAGUUUAAGCAUCAAGUUGAGUAGAGAUUAUUACUUGUUUAGGCAUGUGUAAAAGAUGAGUAGAGCAGCUAAGCAAACCUAGUAUAGCCUAGUCUACCCAUAAACAUAACCCCAGGUGAACAAAGAAGAGUAAGUAAGCUAGUCAUGUCCUUAGGGUUUGCAUUCAUUGGACACAUGCAUAUAAAGUAAAUGACAUUAAUGAGUAGGUUCAAAAUGAUCAAACGGUGUCUACACUUGCCUUGAUCGAUGUCGGGUUGCUCGAACUCAGCGGGAUCCUGAACCUCUUCCUUCACGAACGUCUCGUUGGCUAUACGCGUCAAUCAUCAAUCAUAGGAACAAUACAUGCAAGCAAACAAACUUAAUCAGAAACAGUACACCAAAGCAUGCGAAAACAAAAAGCAACUGCACUACUGUAAUCUACCCGACGAAACGAAACCAUAGCGACCAGAAUCACCUAAAUCGGAGUUACGAUGCAAAAGUUAUGGCUAAAACAAGUUGAAUGACAUCUCUGUAGAUAAACAGAACUAUUUUUCGUAAUAAAAACUAAUUAAAACUGAAUUAAAACGCAUUUUGGAUAAAAUAUGUAAAUACCAACGGGUGGAGGGCUUAAACUGUAAAAGCAGGGGCAUAUUUUAAAAUAAACUAAAACUGAGCUGGAUCGCGGGUUAAUUUUGAAGAAACGCGAGGGCCUUUUCGCAAAAAGGCCAGGGGCGCGCGGGGGCCGUGGCCGUCCUGGCCACGUGGCGGCGCGUGGCUGGCCCGGUCCAUGGCGGCGCUGUGGACCGGGGGGGCUCGGGGGUCCACCGAUCCAUGGUGGACCGGGGAGAGGCGCGGGGGCGGCGUGGACCCGGUCCAGGGGACCGGCCGUGCGGGGCGCUGGGGUCGCGGUCCACGGUGGACCGCGCCCUUGGCGAGGCGAGCAGGCGGGCGGCCGGUCGGCCGCGGCGGGCAGGGACGGCGGCGCCAUGGCCGCCGCCGGCGAGGUUGCGGGCACGGCCCUAAGGGGCGAGACGGAGCACGCCGAGGGCACCAACGGGGUCGGCACGACGCGGCGAGGACGGGGCGCGGCUCACCUUCGCGAACCCGGCAGCGCGGAGAGGAGCGCGACGGUGGCGAGCUUUGGCGGCGGCGCGAACUCGGCGAGAGCGGCGGCGGUGCGAGCUAGCGUUUAGGGCUUUAGGCGGCUCGGGGUGCGAAGGGGCCCGCGAGGGCGAGUGGCGGCGCUAUUUAUAGGGUGCAGCGAACUUUGGUUCGCGUGCGGGCGCGGAAACCGGAGCGGAGGCGGCGCGGCGCUCCCCCAUCCGAUUCGGACGGGAGGUUGAAGACGCCCCCUGACGGGUGGGCCCCACCUGCGGGACCCACUGGUCAGCGGCUGCGGGCGGCAGGGGGCGCUGCUGCGCGGGCGAGCUGGGCCGCGGCCCACUCGGGCAAGGGGGGAGGGGCGCGGGGUGCUGGGCCGAGAGUCGGCCCAAGCGGGGGUUCUCCUUUUUUUUCUUUUUUUUAACAGAUUUCUCCUAUUUAAUUAUUGCUCCAAAAUUCAAAUAAAGGCACAAACAAACAAAUAAAUAAAAUCAAGCAAAAAUUAUGCUGCAGCAUGAAUGCAAACUCAAACAUGUUUCUACCUUAUAUUUAAUUUUAUUUAAUUUUGUAAAUUAUUUAAUAAUUCCCAAAAAUUCAAAUUGAGCCAAAAUUAAAUCAAAUUUAAACUAAAUUUAAAAUUCAAAAAUUUGGAGUGUUAUAAGCAGCUAUUUGAUUUAACUGAGAUUCCAUCAUUUUAUUAAAGCUAAUUUGAUUCUUGAUGGCAGUAGAGAAAUUAUCCAUUCUAUUAUUUAUAUUUUCUAGCAUUUUAUCAUUAGAUGCCAAUUUCUUAGAUAGAUUAUCCAUUAGCUUUCCUUAAUUAGACACUAACUCUCUCAGAGGUGGAAAAUUAUUAUUAUUGUUGUAAGAAUUGUUACCUUGAUAAUUACCUGAGUAGUUAGGCCUCUGUUGAUUCCAACCUUGAUUUUGUUGAGGACGGUUGUAGUUGUUGUUGUUGUUGCUGUUGAUGUAGUUCACAUCCUCAAGUAUCUCAGGGCAGUGAUUGCCUGAGUGUCCAGUAUCUCCACACUCCUCGCAAGUCAUGUGAGAGUCGUAGAUGUGCAUAAGUUCUUUCUUAUCUCCAGCUCUAUCAUCGAGCUUCUUCAUGAGCAGGUCUAGCUUUGCAGAUAGCAUGUCUACCUCCUUCAGCUGAUGCAUACCUCCACCUCCCUUGCGUGUCUGGGUCCUCUCUUCAUUCCAGCUUUGAUUGGACGCCAUCUUCUCCACAAGAGCUGUGGCUUGUGAUAUAGUAAGUGAUAAGAAUGCUCCUCCACCUGCAGCAUCCAUGGUCUCUCGGGCACUGUUGCCGAGCCCAUAAUAAAAUGCUGCAUCAGUAGCCAACUCUCCAUUCCAUGAUGGGGACAUUUUAGGAUGUAGUCUUGAAAGCGCUCCCAUGCUUCUGGAACAGAUUCAUCAUUUUGUUGCUGAAAACUUGUAAUCUUCCCACGGAGAGCAUUGGUCUUCCCAUGGGAAAGAACUUAGCCAGGAAGUUUGUUGAGCAGAGUGCCCACGUAGUAUUCUUCUCCUUUGUAGCGUAGAACCACUGCUUCGCUUUCCCUAAUAGUGAGAAUGGGAAGAGGCGAAGUAGUAUAGCAUCUUUGGAAACUCCUGAUAUGGUGAAUGUGUUGCAAAUCUCCAGGAAGUGUUGUAGAUGAGCACUAGCAUCUUCGUGUGCCUUCCCACAAAACUGGUUGGAUUGCACCAUGUUGAUAAGUCCAGGCUUGACCUCAAAGUUGCUGUCGAUCUCUGCAGCAGGUCCAGUGCGGAUGUUGUCCGUAGUGGGAGCUGAGAAUUCACGGAUUGAUUUGUUCGCCAUGGCCUCGAACUCUGAAGACAUGUUCCGGUGAUCUUCUUGAUUGGAUGAAGCUUCUUGCUGAAGUGUUGAUGAUCUCUUCUUGAGCUUGGCUCUCGUCUUCUUGAAUAAUGCUUCGGGAUUGUCAACAAAAUUUCCUGGAAGAUGUCUUCUAUUCAUACAUUCCCCUGCAUAAGAUAAAAUAGAAAGAUAUUGUGGUAAAACUGUAUGAGAGAAUAGAUAAGCUCAAUCAUAUUAGUGAUGCGAAUGAUAACUCAAAAUCCUUUAUUCCAUUCUUGAUUAGUAAUCAACCUUCCCCGGCAACGGCGCCAAAAAUGCUUGUUGGGUAUUCUUAACAUCAUUACCAAAAGUAGACUUAGUUUUCUAAUUCUAGUAACGUGGCCAAAAAUGCCAAACCUAUCCCUCACACCACUUAAGCCAAGUUGUCAUCCCCAACAUGACAUGAGAGACGUGGUAUUGAAAUUUGCAAUUGCUCUUCUAAAUAAAUAAUGAAUGAGAUCUGCAAGCGCACAGAUUAAUAUCGAUGCAGCAUUUUAACCGAGAAGUAUUCUAGGUAUCGUUAUUUAUAUUUUUACCAUUGGGAAGGGAUUAGCAAUCAUCAACAUUGAUUACAGAAUAGAAUAUGAGAUUGAGUAUCUAUCAUUGCAUGUAUAAUUGAGAACAUUUAUCUAACUCUUUCAUACAGGGAUAAGUGUCACAUAAAAGAUAUAUGAAAUAAUGAAUAGUGACAAAGAUAAUUAGUCUGAUCUAGCCACAUAAUAAAUAUGAUAAGCACCUCAAUUAGAUACUCUACAAAGUCAUUAGCAUGGAACUAGAACGAACUACAAGAAUAUUUCCUAAGUUAUUCUCAACUAUAUAGUCUAGCAUUAUCAUAAUUAGUGCAAGCAUACUUAGCAAUCAUUGCGAGACAAGACUACACCCAUGCAUAGUGAUAUUAGCAAGGUAAAUGCGAAAUAUAGCAAUCACUCCCCUGUAAUAAUAUUGCUCUGCCAGCCCAAUACACGAGAGGGGGACUAUAUAAGAAUCAAUGAAGCUGUCACUAUCACGAACUACCCCACGAUCUGGCAUAUUGGGUACAAUCGCAGAUAAAUACGGUAUAAGCACCACGCCUACACAAUAUCUAUCAUUUACCCAUGGAUCCGAUGGAUAAAUACUAUACGAUCCUAAGCAUGUAUAUAGAUCCAAUCUAACUAAGACAAGUACAUAACUAUGAUAAACUAAGAACAAUAUAAUCUUGAAUAUAAGCAAGUAGAGCAAAGUCAUAAACAAUAUAUUGAAGUAGAACAAAGUCAUAUUCAUAAUAUUGAAGAACAAAGAUAAUUAGAAAGCAAUUAGAAGCACAAUUAGAGAAUUACCAAGAAUCCUCUUGACAGAUCCGAAAACCAAUCGAAGAUUGACUCCUUCUAGUUCUAAUCCUAUGUAGCUAUGCUAAUCUAGAUGUCUAAUUGUUGUGGUGACUCUAAUCUUGAUCAGAGGCUUCUUCUCCCUAGAGAAUAAUGAAUUAGGGUUGAGAGGCUCUCUCCUCUAGGGGCCAGAGGGUCUGGUUUUAUAGUCCCUUCAAGUGAAUAUGGGCCGUUGGAUCAAACCGACAUUGAUUGAACGGUUAUCCUUGAUCCAUUAGGUCGGUGGAGAUCUCCCACAAAGCAGAGUCCUGAUUGGACUCUCAGAGGGGGCGGGCGCCGAGGGCAGGAGGGCGGGCGCCCUGCCUCUUGCCCCGUUUCGCCUCCGCUUCGGUCUCGUGGCUUCUGGAGUCUUCUAGAUGUAAGAUAAUUGCGCGACACGUUAAUAUCUCUAUGUAAUCCCGACGUGUGGGCCUUUCUUCCGUAUUUCCUGAUAACCCCCUGCAGAAAUAUUCAAACACCAAAACUCGUGGAAUUCUGUCAGAUAAAACCCUAAGUCUAGAUGUUGAUUUCAUUUGGAUCCUUUUCUUUAUUUAUUUGAUAAUUAAAUUUGAUACUUAAGGACCGUCAACACAUAACACAUCAACUAGAAAUCCAACGUGUGAGAUUAAGAUGUGAGAAGCCGCUUCCAACUCUCCUGAGUCCUCUCUAUGUAACGAGCCCUACUCCUCCCUGCAUCCUCGCACCACCCUAGGUUCGAUUCCUACUCCAAUUGAAUCUUUGAAAAAACUCUGCUUUUGCCCUUCAUCCCUCCCUCCCUAUCCGUGUCGCUCCUCCUCUUCCUCUCUUGCUGCCUCUGUCCACGGUGAGAUCACACUGAGAGCACCGUCCUCGCCCCCGCCGAGGUCGUGACUGCCCAGCACUGUCGCUAGCCCCUGACGGCUAGAGUCGCAGUCGUGGCCAUCACUGUUGUUGGCUCCACGGGCACCCUGGCUAGCUCCUUGGCUGGGGGCGCUGCUGGCCAGACCUCCGCCGUGGCCGGCCCCAUGGCUAGGAGGCGGCCCCUUGGUAGCAGCGACUGGUGGCAUGGCUGGUAGACAACGCCGACGCAGGNNNNNNNNNNNNNNNNNNNNNNNNNNNNNNNNNNNNNNNNNNNNNNNNNNNNNNNNNNNNNNNNNNNNNNNNNNNNNNNNNNNNNNNNNNNNNNNNNNNNAGGCCUAGCUCGCCAUGGCCGCCACCAGCGCGCGUGGCGAUAAACGGCGACAGGGCCUGCAGGUGCUAGGCGCCGCCGGGGCGGGGGGGGGGGGGGAGGGCGCCACAGCUGAUGCGGCCAAGGCCUUGUUUACUUCCACCCAUAAUCCAUAAAAUUUUCAAGAUUCCCUAUCAUGGGGCCGGUAGUCGUGGUCUCUCUUCUCUCAAUUCAUCACAAGAUUAGUGUUUCUAUACACUUUCUGGCUGACCAUGGCGACUGCUAACUCAUCUCCAAUGUUUGGAUUCUGUCAGCAAUCUGACGCUAUUCCCCUUGAUCUACAAGUUCAUGUGCUAUCUCCCCUCCUUUGGCUCUUUCUCUAUCAGCACAAAAAUCUGUUCACUAUGUGUUUGAUAGAAUGCUUCACAAAGAUACCACAAAAAAGAUUCACUAAUUCUUGAGAGAUGCCUGAUAAUUAUAGAUGUGCUAUAUUCUUCUUGCAGAACAGGUGUAUUCUACUGUAUCUCACUUCAUCUUAACUAAUUCAAUUGUUUCAGGAAAUAUGGUUCAGAUUAUGUGGUUUAUGAUUGAACAGGCAUUUAAUUUUGUCCCAAUAGUGUCUGAUAGUGAAGAUGGGAUAAUUAAUGACUGAAACAAGGAUCUGAAUGAGUCGACAGAAGUACAUCCGAAAAUUACUCAUUUGUUUCGGUCCCUUUUAAUUAGUUUGUUAAUGCAUGUGUGGUAUUUGAAGUAGCCUUUUAAUUAGUCGUUGUUUGGUCGCAUGAUAAAGUAGCAGAUCAGAGGUGCUCUGCCUCAUACUCUGCAUAUGCACAGAUGCGGCGAAUGGUUUGGCAGGUCACCUAUCUAGAUUCCAUAGUUUUGCCUUCUCCCAUAAUUUUUUAUUUUUUGUAGAUGAUUUGCUCUCUCAUAAUCCCAUAAUUCAUUUCGAUUUUAGUUUAGGUUGCUAAGUGACCACGAAAUCAGUACUCGUGAAUUAAUGUGUCACUGUGUUUUGUUCGUUUUAGUAAACUUUCAAGGAAAAUGUUGGUUAUUUUCUCUACUGUGGGUUAUGGAGAUUGUAGAUCGGUAUGAUGACGCAUGUGUCCCUGCUGGUGCGACUGACUACCUUGCUAUUUUUCUUCUUGCUUGGAACAUGACCUCCGGAGAGGUAUUAGUCGACUUAUGAUUUAUACCCACAUAAAUUCACUUCUUUGCUGCUUAUACGGUCUACUAUUUUGUGCAGUGAAAAUGACAUCCACUUCAUAACUACGCGUUGGCGCUGUUUCUGGGACAGUGGUGUUGACAUCAACUUGGUAGAGUAAGUUACGUGCUUAUGAUUCCCAUUUCUCUUUCAUAUCUGACAAAGGGAAGGCAAAGUUAACUAUGCAAGUGUUGCUAAUAUAGGAUGGUUUCACUUCUCUUCACAAGGCGUUUAUAGCUUCUCAAUGUGCCCGUAAGUUCAUCUCCAAUUGGAUACAUGCUAAAAAGAUGUAUAACCAGUGUGAGUGCCUAAGAUCAAGUAUAACAAUUACAUUGUCUUUUUUAUAUAAUUUAAUUUUUUUUUAGUUUGCAUAGAGUAUUUCAGUUCUAAUUUGUAUGUAGCCGAAUUUUGCUGUAGCGUUAGCACGGGCACUAUACUAGUAUUAAAGAAAAAACAAAAAACACCUAUGAGUAGGAUAUGAACCCAAGACCUCAACGACAACACUAACUUGCUCUGACCAGUAGAACCUCUUUGAAUUUAUGUUAUUUGUCCACAUAUGGUGCUAUAUUAACUAAAUUUAUAUGUAUAUUAUAUACAGAUCUAAUUAAUUAACUAAUUAAGUCAACAUCCUACCCCGUCCCUAUCUACACGCAUGAUCUUUGAGCCACGCCGUGCAAGGCGUCGCCCCUCGUGGACACCGUUGCCCCUCCGAUACCUGCACUCACGUACAGCGCCGUCGCCCCUUGUGCACGCCGUGCUCGAUCACAAUCGUGUGUUGCGUGCGGCCAGCCCAUUGCAUCAGGUGCGUGCCCCUAUCUUCCUCGUUCCCCAUGUCGUGAACCCCUACAGCUAGCGCUGCAGCGGGCAUGACCCCCUGUCCUGUAGGUACUAGGCGCCCUACAUACCAACGAUGGCCAAGCUGGUGCCCUAGUUUGGCAGACGUCCUCCAUCAAAGCAUGUAUUAGCAUUAUGAUCAGCAGCCAUAGUCAUCAAGCAGAGCAUCGAUCAUCAAGCAGUAUGUCUAUAUAUGUUUGCUUUAUGUAUCUAAUAUAUAUAGAGAGAGAGUAUAUUCAGUAGCUAGCUACAAAAUAAGUUAUUUUGUAACCACUUCCAUACGAUAAUUUUAUAUACUAAUUUACUAUAACACAUGGAGAUAUUUACCGUAACGUUAUAGUGAACCAUUUAGUAAAUGUUACUAUAAUUUCGUAAAUUAACACAGUUAUUAUCGUAACACAAAUAUUCUAGUGUCAUGAUCCCUCCAAAUUAAAAUGUUGCAAGAAAUUCAAUCUACUGAAUUUGUACUAUUGAAUAAUGGCGGCACAUGAUGAUGAUCGGCAGUGUAUGUCUAUAUAUGCAUAUCUUCUUUCAUUGCAUAAUAAAAUUUUAAAAUGUCUUCUAAAUCUCAUAUCUAAAAGAAUAUUUAAAUUUUAUCAAAUUAUUAAUGUGCAUCUUUAUUUUUGGUAGAAUAUUUGCAAAGCAUUCAUGGCACUAGAAAAAAUGAAAAUGAAAAUGAAAAAGAAAAAUCAGGAAAAAAGUUGUACCCUUGCAAGAUUUUGAACCUAAGACUCAAACAUCGGCGAGCUAUCUGCUAACCACUCCGCAUCAUGUUCUUCGUUUGAUUGUGCAUGAUAUAUUUAUUAAUCGACCAAUCAUGCCUUGCUCGAUAAAAUAUAUUUUAUCUCAUUCAUGUCAGAUUGUGCAUGAUAUGUUUUAUUUAAUAUAUAAUCGAUCAAUGACCAUGCCCUGCUGGAUAAAAUAUAUUUUAUCAAUCCAGCAAUGGCGAUGCCCUACUGGAUAAAAUAAAAAUGAUAAAAAUGCAAUGUUACACACAUAGCCCACAAUUGAAUCGAACCUUGGCCUACCAAGGGAGUUAAGGAAAGCGAAGCUGAAGGACUCAGCCAGAAGGGAUGUUAUGUUUCAAAAGCACAUAAAUUUGUAGUUGAAUCACAAUUGAGUGAACUUUGGACAUCCCAGAAAAAUGUCUCAAAAAGAAAAGUAUUAUAAAAUGCUGGAACAAUUGACAACAUUUUAAAAAUUAUAAAUUAACGACAUUUUUAAAAUUAUAAAUUGAUGACAUUUUUUUAAAUGCUAAUUCUUGCUUCUUGGUUCUUCUUUUAUGUGUCUUGUUUUGUCUUCUAUGUGUAACCUUCGAUGGCUAAUGUUAAUCACUAGGCCAUGUAACUGUUGUUGAUGAUUACUGCAGACUGUCUAAGUUAUUUAUGCACGUUUUGAUUUUUAGGUAAAAUAUUUUGUAAACCGUGAUAAAAAAAUAUUUUGCAAACCAUUCAUUGCACUAGAAAAUAACAGAGAUUUUGUACGUUUCGAACAUGCUACAGGCUAUUGGCAUCAACCACUUUACCAUUAGGCCAUCACGUACUUUAUUUCAAACCAUGCACAAAACCUUUUAUUUAUUAACAUGUACCAAUGGGCUUCUCUUUUCUGACCAAAAUAGCCCCCUUUCUGCUGGACGAAAUGGUAAAACCAUGCACAAUUUCGUAUCUGACUAGAAGUGAGCAACUCUCGGACAUUACCAAAUGAAAAAGAAGUUUACCGUCCGAUCAAAAAAAGUUGACCAAGUAUAAAUUGAUUAUUUGAGGCCCUAGAUGAUUUCAAAUAAAAAUAUUGUCAGCUACAAAAAUUUAUAUUUUUUUGAGAUCUAUAACUUUAAUUUUGAUAGUUUUUUCUCUGAGGUCGUUUAUAAAAUUUAAAAUUUAAAUUUAAGAAAUUCAAACAUUAUUUUCCAUGGUAAAAUGAUUUUAAAUGAAAAAGGUUAUCAACUAUAAAGUUUUAUAACUUUUCAAGAUCUAUGAAUUUUGUUUUUGUUGUUUGAAGGUCGUUUAAAAGUUUUAAAUUUCAAAAUUUUGGAAAUUCAAACGUAGUUUUCUUUGCCAAGAUGAUUUCAAAUCAAAAAGUUGUUAAUUAUAAAGUUUCAUAACUUUUUGAGAUCUAUAACUUUUCUUUUGGUUACUUGAUUAUUUCUUCAUCCUACAUAGUGGAGUAACAUUAUUCACAAAAUUUACAUAUCCCUUUUAUAUGUGAGAGUGAUCCACAAAAAUUGAGAGAAAAAAGAGAUGAAUCAUGUGAGGAAUUAUUUACUUCUAACAUCAUAAUACCUUCUAUUUUUGUUCCUUUUGCGAUGUAGGUUCAUGAAAAAAAUGAUGUUGUGAAUUAUGAUCAGCACCCAAUCUUCGAUGAGGAAGAACAAGUGAUUGUCAAUGACAACGAUACACAUGCAUAUGGCUUCACAAGACAAGUAAUUGUGCAUCAAAAUCUAUGUGAGAAUGAGAGCCACAUUGCCAAAAUGAGAGAGAGUGAAAACAAAGGUGAGUUGAGUGAUUCCUAUAAGGCUGAGAGUGACAACAAUGAGAGUGUGAGGGAUACACCACAGAAAAAUAGAUAUUUAGAAUGCACGCCAAGUGAGGAUAUCUUUGAAACUAACACUCUCAUCUCUACUUCUAGUUUUGUCUUUUCAAAUGUGCAGGUUGGUGAUGAGAAUAGGGAAGAGAUGGAUGCUCAAGACAAUACCAUACUUGUUGAGAGAAAUGAGAAGGUAGCCAUUCAACUAAACCCAUUGUGUGUUGCCCAAAACCUGAACAAUGACAUGGAUAAUGGUAAGAUUUCAGAGGAACAAUCCUUGGUACUUGCACCACCAAAAAGUCUAAAAGUUAUUGAAAAUAAAUCAGAUUUGAGUUUGCAAAAUAAAAUGGCAAGUAAUUAUGAUAAUACAUAUGGUUCAAAUGGGAUUAACCAUACACAAAAUAUUUGCACUGAUUUGAUUAUUUCACAUGUUCACCCGUGUGCUGAAAUUUUGCAAGUUGAUAACCAAAGUUCAAUCAUACAUGAUUUUUCUAUUGUUUUAUAUGGUUCAUGUACAUGAUGAUUUGCAUUCAUAUGUGUGAUACGAUGCAUUAUGUUUCAAUGCUCAUACAUCUUAGAGAUGGCUGCACAUUUCUCAACCCUUUAGUUAAUUCAGCAAAACCAUCAGUUGACGGUCCUUAAGUAUCAAAUUUAAUUAUCAAAUAAAUAAAGAAAAUGAUCCAAAUGAAAUCAACAUCUAGACUUAGGGUUUUAUCUGACAGAAUUCCACGAGUUUUGGUGUUUGUCUAUUUCUGCAAGGGGUUAUCAGGAAAUACGGAAGAAAGGCCCACACGUCGGGAUUACAUAGAGAUAUUAACGUGCUGCGCAAUUAUCUUACAUCUAGAAGACUCUAGAAGCCACGAGACCGAAGCGGAGGCGAAACGGGGCCAGAGGCAGGGCGCCCGCCCUCCUGCCCUGGGCGCCCGCCCCCUCUGAGAGUCCAAUCAGGACUCUGCUUCGUGGGAGAUCUCCACCGACCUAAAGGAUCAAGGAUAACCGUUCAAUCUAAGUCGGUUUGAUCCAACGGCCCAUAUUCACUUGAAGGGACUAUAAAACCAGAGCCCCUGGCCCUUGGAGGAGAGAGCUUCUCAACCCUAAUUCAUUGUUCUUCAAGGGAGAAGAAGCCUCUGAUCAAGAUUAGAGCCACCACAUCAAUUAGACAUCUAGAUUAGCAUAGCUACAUAGGAUUAGAACUAGAAGGAGUCAAUAUUCGAUUGGUUUCUGGAUCUGUCAGGAGGAUUCUUGGUAAUUCUUUAAUUGUGCUUCUAAUUGUUCUUCUAAUUAUCUUUGUUCUUCAAUAUUAUGAAUAUGAGUUUGUUCUACUUCAAUAUAUUGCUUAUGACUUUGCUCUACUUGCUUAUAUUCAAGAUUAUAUUGUUCUUAGUUUAUCAUAGUUACGUACUUGGCUUAGUUAGAUUGGAUCUAUAUACAUGCUUAGGAUCGUAUAGCGUUUAUCCAUCGGAUCCAUGGGUAAAUGAUAGAUAUUGUGUAGGGGUGGUGCUUAUACCGUAUUUAUCUGCGAUUGUACCCAAUAUGCCAGAUCGUGGGGUAGUUCGUGAUAGUGACAUCUUCAUUGAUUCUUAUAUGGUCCCCCUCUCGUGUAUUGGGCUGGCAGAGCAAUAUUAUUACAGGGGAGUGAUUGCUAUGUUUCUCAUUUACCUUGCUAAUAUCACUAUGCAUGGGCGUAGUCUUGUCUCGCAAUGAUUGCUAAGUAUUCUUGCACUAACUAUGAUAAUGCUAGACUAUAUAGUUGAGAAUAACUUAGGAAAUAUUCUUGUAGUUUGUUCUAAUACCAUGCUAAUGACUUUCUAGAGUAUCUAAUUGAGGUGCUUAUCAUAUUUAUUAUGUGGCUAGAUCAGACUAAUUAUCUUUGUCACUAUUCAUUAUUUCAUAUAUCCUUUAUGUGACACUUAUCCCUGUAUGAAAGAGUUAGAUAAAUGUUCUCAAUUAUACAUGCAAUGAUAGAUACUCAAUCUCAUAUUCUAUUCUGUAAUCAGUAUUGAUGAUUGUUAAUCCCUUCCUAGUGGUAAAAAUAUAAAUAACGAUACCUGGAAUACUUCCCGGUUAAAAUGCUACAUCGGUAUUAAUCUGUGCGCUUGCAGAUCCCAUUCAUUAUUUAUUUAGAAGAGCAAUUGCAUAUUUCAAUACCGCGUCUCUCAUGUCAUGCUGGGGAUGACAACAUGGCUUAAGUGGUAUGAGGGAUAGGUUUGGCAUUUUUGGCACCGUUACUAGAUUUAGAGAACUUAGUCUACUUUUGGUAAAGAUGUUAAGAAUACCCAACAAGCAUUUUUUGGCGCCGUUGCCGGGGAAGGUUGAUUACUAAUCAGGAAUGGAAUAAAAGAUUUUGAUUUAUCAUUCGCAUCACUAAUAUGAUUGAGCUUAUAUAUUCUCUCAUACAGUUUUACCCCGAUAUUUGUCUAUUUUAUCUUAUGCAGGGGAAUGUAUCAAUAGAAGACAUCUUCCAGGAAAUUUUGUUGACAAUCCCGAAGCAUUAUUCAGAAGAACUAGAGCCAAGCUCAAGAAUAGAUCAUCAACACUUCAGCAAGAAGCUUCAUCCAAUCAAGAAGAUCACCGGAACUUGUCUUCAGAGUUCAAAGCCAUGGCGAACAAAUCAAUCCGCGAGUUCUCGGCUCCCACUACGGACAACAUCUACACUGGACCUGCUGCAGAGAUCCACGGCAACUUUGAGCUCAAGCCUGGACUUAUCAACAUGGUGCAAUCCAACCAGUUCUGCGGGAAGCCACAUAAAGAUGCUAGUGCUCAUCUACAACACUUCUUGGAGAUUUGCAACACAUUUACCAUAUCAGGAGUCUCCAGAGAUGCUAUACUACUUCGCCUCUUCCCAUUCUCACUGUUAGGGAGAGCGAAGCAGUGGUUUUACGCUACAAAGGAGAAGAAUACUACGUGGGCACUCUGCUCAACAAACUUCCUGGCUAAGUUCUUUCCCAUGGGCAAGACCAAUGCUCUCCGUGGGAAGAUUACAAGUUUUCAGCAACAAAAUGAUAAAUCUGUUCUAGAAGCAUGGGAGCGCUUUCAAGACUACAUCCUAGAAUGUUCCCAUCAUGGAAUGGAGAGUUGGCUAUUGAUGCAGACAUUUUAUCAUGGGCUCGGCAACAGUGCCCGAGAGACCAUGGAUGCUGCAGCUGGAGGAGCAUUCUUAUCACUUACUAUAUCACAAGCCCCAGCUCUUGUGGAGAAGAUGGCAUCCAAUCAAAGCUGGAAUGAAGAGAGGACCCAGACACGCAAGAGAGGUGGAGGUAUGCAUCAGCUCAAGGAGGUAGACAUGCUGUCUACAAAGCUAGACCUGCUCAUGAAGAAGCUCGACGAUAGAGCCAGAGAUAAGAAAGAAGUUAUGUACAUCUACGACUCUCACAUGACUUGUGAGGAGUGUGGAGACACUGGACACUCAGGCAAUCACUGCCCUGAGAUGCUUGAGGAUGUGAACUACAUCAACAACAACAACAACAACUACAACCGUCCUCAACAAAAUCAAGGUUGGAAUCAACAGAGGCCUAACUACUCAAGUAAUUAUCAAGGUAACAAUUCUUACAACAAUAAUAAUAAUUUUCCACCUUUGAGAGAGUUAGUGUCUAAUCAAGGAAAGCUAAUGGAUAACCUAUCUAUGAAAUUGGCAUCUAAUGAUAAAAUGCUAGAAAAUAUAAAUAAUAGAAUGGAUAAUUUCUCUACUGCCAUCAAGAAUCAAAUUAGCUUUAAUAAAAUGAUUGAAUCUCAGUUAAAUCAAAUAGCUGCUGCUGUUCCUGCUACUAACCCCAGUAUACCACCACAACCGGAAGGAUUAGAAUCUGCAAAUCUUGUAGACAUGUUUGAUGCAGGUAAUAACUGGAGUAACCCCAUCACUGAAUUCACUAUUGACCUUCUGCCGGUCAAGAGAGGUGAUCCAAGACGCCCCGUCAUCCCGAGCUCCAUCGGCAUGGUGGACAUCCCAGAAGCACUCUGCGACUUUGGCUCCAGCGUCAACAUUAUACCCAGGGUACUCUAUGAAAAAUUCUUUACAUAUCCUUUAUUAGAAACAACCAUGUGUUUGCAGUUUGCAGAUCAGACAAUAAGUUUUCCAAAAGGAGUAUUGAAGAACCUUUGUGUCCGAGUUGGUACCUUGUACGCCCUAGUAGACUUCGUGGUGAUAGAGACCAGUAAUGAUGAGAGAGCACCCAUCAUCUUAGGGAGGCCAUUCUUAAACACCUCGGGAGCUGUCAUCUACGCCAGUGCUGCCAAGAUCAGUUUCUACAUCAAAGGGAGGAAGGAGACAUUUUUCUUCAAGAACAAGACUACACAAAUCCCAGAUCAAUCCAGACGUGAAUCAAGGAAGAGGACCAACAGGAGGAAUUGGAACAAGCAAGUGUGGACCGAGUCAGCUAAGAUGGUCACUGUAGUUCAUGGAGGUCAAGAUCAACAACUUAAGUCACCGUUUUUGACCAAGAAGGACGACCCAGGAAUGCCAAGCAUCUACUGCUCUAUAAAUGGAUACAACUUCUACAAGACGACUUGCGACACUGGAUCGGGCGUCAACAUAAUGGCCGCAGUCACCUAUUGGCUCUUGUUCGGAACCAUGCCCCUAAAACCAAUAUACAUUCAGCUCCAGAUGGCAGAUCAGACAUUUCGAGAAGUUAAAUGAACAGCAACUGAUGUCCCUGUCAAAAUAGAUGAUCAUUUUGUCUACACAGACUUCCAGGUUAUAGACAUGGGAGAAGACGAAUUCGAUCCACCCAUCAUCCUUGGAAGACCGUUCCUCAGCACCGUUAAAGCAAUCAUCUACAUUGGAACCGGAGAAGUCCAUAUGCACUUCCCCUCAGAGAAGGUACGCCGUUAUUUUACUGACCCUAACUGUAUCGUUGAAGAAUCUAAAGAGACGCAACCACAACCAGAGGAGGCAAAUCAUCAAGGACGGAUGGGCAGACUACGAAGGAGAAGUUGUGAGGUCUGAAGACGUAGAGUUUAAACAGAAUUAUCCAGAGGAGACCGUAGCACCGAGUCAGGUAUGGAAAGAGAAGAUAACUAUACAUGAAGAAGAGGCGCCGCCGGAAGUACCGACUACGCCACCCAACGAAUCCCAGGACAAUUAAGAAAGAGGAGAGUCCUGUUCGGAGGACUUAAAAACACCGAACGCCUUGCCAAGAGGUAAACUUGGUAGUUAUCCUUUCCCUUUUAGUUAUUUCAAAUAGUUUACUUAGUUAAUCAUAUUCAUGGUAUCCUAAAAAGAAAAUAAAAAUAUGAAAAAUAGUAAGCCCCAUGUGAGUAUACGAGUGGCAUAAAACCCAUAAGUACAUUCACUGUGGUGGCAUAAAAAUAAAAUAAAUAUUUCUUUUCUGCUUUAUAAAAUGAAAAUAUAAAAACAGGGAGUAAUAUUUACUAAGGAGUCUCAACAUGAUAAAGGCUAGAUAUUUAUGCUAACACUUAAUCAGUUCCACAAGAUUUGUUGUCUAUUUGAGCUCCACAGAAUCUAAGAAUCAAGAAGACUAGCAGACGGAGGACAUUCUAAUCGCUGUCAGAAUGCUGCUGACUUUCAAAUACACCUCUGCCACCUGCUAGCUACAUCAAGAGAAAUUAUGUCAAAAUUCAGCUUGGGGG